AGAGUUUGAUCAUGGCUCAGAUUGAACGCUGGCGGCAGGCCUAACACAUGCAAGUCGAACGGUAGCAUUUCUAGCUUGCUAGAAGAUGACGAGUGGCGGACGGGUGAGUAAUGCUUGGGGACUUGCCUUUGCGAGGGGGAUAACAGUUGGAAACGACUGCUAAUACCGCAUAAUGUCUUCGGACCAAACGGGGCUUCGGCUCUGGCGCAAAGAGAGGCCCAAGUGAGAUUAGCUAGUUGGUAAGGUAACGGCUUACCAAGGCGACGAUCUCUAGCUGUUCUGAGAGGAAGAUCAGCCACACUGGGACUGAGACACGGCCCAGACUCCUACGGGAGGCAGCAGUGGGGAAUAUUGCACAAUGGGGGAAACCCUGAUGCAGCCAUGCCGCGUGUGUGAAGAAGGCCUUCGGGUUGUAAAGCACUUUCAGUUGUGAGGAAAAGUUAGUAGUUAAUACCUGCUAGCCGUGACGUUAACAACAGAAGAAGCACCGGCUAACUCCGUGCCAGCAGCCGCGGUAAUACGGAGGGUGCGAGCGUUAAUCGGAAUUACUGGGCGUAAAGCGCACGCAGGCGGUUUGUUAAGCUAGAUGUGAAAGCCCCGGGCUCAACCUGGGAUGGUCAUUUAGAACUGGCAGACUAGAGUCUUGGAGAGGGGAGUGGAAUUCCAGGUGUAGCGGUGAAAUGCGUAGAUAUCUGGAGGAACAUCAGUGGCGAAGGCGACUCCCUGGCCAAAGACUGACGCUCAUGUGCGAAAGUGUGGGUAGCGAACAGGAUUAGAUACCCUGGUAGUCCAC
rnacentral:rRNA from 1 species